AAACAAACAAUCAAUCUUUCAGCCAGAACUACGUGAUCCUUGAUUCUCCAUCCAAAGUGGAGAUACGUAGUAGCAAGGCUAGUCCUUGUCAGGCUCACUUUCCCAAAAAUCCAAAUUUUCCAAACAAACUUUCCAAACAUUUCUCCAAACAAAUUUUCCAAAUGGUUUCCUAAAGAACUACGUAACCCUGAUUUCUCAGUCCAACUGAGAAUACGUAGGAGCAAGGUCAAUCCUUGUCGGGCAC
rnacentral:lncRNA from 1 species